rnacentral:rRNA from 1 species
UACGUAGGCAGCAAGCGUUGUUCGGAGUUACUGGGCGUAAAGGGUGUGUAGGCGGUUCUUUAAGUUUGGUGUGAAAUCUCCCGGCUUAACCGGGAGGGUGCGGUGAAUACUGAGGGACUAGAGUACGGGAGAGGAAAGUGGAAUUCCUGGUGUAGCGGUGAAAUGCGUAGAUAUCAGGAGGAACACCGGUGGUGUAGACGGCUUUCUGGACCGUAACUGACGCUGAGACACGAAAGCGUGGGUAGCAAACAGG